rnacentral:rRNA from 1 species
UACGUAGGGUGCAAGCGUUAAUCGGAAUUACUGGGCGUAAAGCGUGCGCAGGCGGUUGUGCAAGACAGCUGUGAAAUCCCCGGGCUCAACCUGGGAAUUGCAUUUGUGACUGCACGGCUAGAGUGUGUCAGAGGGGGGUAGAAUUCCACGUGUAGCAGUGAAAUGCGUAGAGAUGUGGAGGAAUACCGAUGGCGAAGGCAGCCCCCUGGGAUAACACUGACGCUCAUGCACGAAAGCGUGGGGAGCAAACAGG